GGGUUGUGAGGUUAAGCGACCAAGCGUACACGGUGGAUGCCCUGGUAGUCAGAGGCGAUGAAGGACGUGCUAAUCUGCGAUAAGCGCCGGUAAGGUGAUAUGAACCGUUAUAACCGGCGAUUUCCGAAUGGGGAAACCCAGUGUGAUUUGUCACACUAUCAUUACGUGAAUACAUAGCGUAAUGAGGCGAACCGGGGGAACUGAAACAUCUAAGUACCCCGAGGAAAAGAAAUCAACCGAGAUUCCCCCAGUAGCGGCGAGCGAACGGGGAGGAGCCCAGAGUCUGAAUCAGCAUAUGUGUUAGUGGAAGCGUCUGGAAAGGCGCGCGAUACAGGGUGACAGCCCCGUACACAAAAGCGCAUAUGCUGUGAGCUCGAUGAGUAGGGCGGGACACGUGGUAUCCUGUCUGAAUAUGGGGGGACCAUCCUCCAAGGCUAAAUACUCCUGACUGACCGAUAGUGAACCAGUACCGUGAGGGAAAGGCGAAAAGAACCCCGGCGAGGGGAGUGAAACAGAACCUGAAACCGUGUACGUACAAGCAGUGGGAGCCCCACCACCAAAGCGUUUGCUGUAGCGCGUUGACGGAGCGAAGCGACGUCAAACCGAAAAAAAACAGCAGCGAUGAACGCAGGGCGUUUUGCACGAAGUGCAAAGGCAGACGCGUUCGCGAAGCGAAAAGCGAAUGCUUUGGGGUGGGGUGACUGCGUACCUUUUGUAUAAUGGGUCAGCGACUUAUAUUCUGUAGCAAGGUUAACCGCAUAGGGGAGCCGAAGGGAAACCGAGUCUUAAC
rnacentral:rRNA from 1 species